CACACACCCAGCUCAUUUUUGUAUUUUGAGUGGAGACAGGGUUUCACUAUGACGCCCAGCCUGGUCUCGAACUCCUGGGCUCAAGGGAUCCACCUGCCUUGGCCUCCCAAAGUGCUGGGAUUAACAGGUGUCAGAUACUGUGUCUGGCUGUUUAUCAUAUUCUUAAUUCCUGAUUGUAAAAUUAUUUCUGGACUCUUAUUUUCACCCCUUGAGUCAUCUAUAUGUUCACGUGCCAGCCCCACUGCUUGCAUUUCCGUAGCCUUGCAGAUGGUAUCUUUAUCUUAGACUUUUUAGUAGCUGGGAGUGCCAGUGUCCCUCUCAAUGCUCUGCUUUUCCAGGAAUAUCUUGGUUAUUUCUUACAUGUUUGUUUUUCCCAGAGGGCUUUAGAAACAGCAUGCCAAUUCCAGUAUCUGCUUCCUCCCCCCGUCCUCCAAAAGCAUUUGUGUUUUUACUGAGAAGAUGCUACAUUUAUACAUUAAAGACAUUUGACAGGAAACACAAAAAUACAGAUACCUAAGCAGGCCCUAGGUAUUUUUCAUGGCACUUAUUUGUCAGGUCCUGCCUCACAUACAAAAGCACGCAGGGCACUUGCCACCUUCUCUUCCCCAAAGUGCAUCAGUGUGGUGACCAUGACGGGAACAGAAAAGGGGAAGGAAGCUGAGAUCCUGGCAGAAUAAAAUGGGGCAUGGAAUUAAAUAGUUAAUAUGUAAAUAUAAUGAAAUUAAUAGCAUUUAUCGACCACAUAAGCACUUUAGUCGAUUAUCUCAGUUCAUAGUCACAACUCCUAUGAGGCAGGUGCUACUAAUAUUAUCCUGAUUCAUCAAUAAAAACGAGGCUCAGAAAGAUUAAGUCACUUUCACUCAACUAAUCAUCAGUAGAGCUGGAAUUUGAUCCAGGUGUAGGCUCCGCACUCUUAACCUCCAAGCUGAGCUGAGCUGCUAAGUGAAGUUCAACUGCUUCUGGGAGGCUGGGUAGAGAAAAAAAAGAGAAAUAUGUUUGCUGAAUCAAUUGCUGCCGGCCAAGGGCAAGGCCUUUGCACCUGGCAUUGCAGCUGAUUGACGCUGCAGAAUCUGCAGGAAUUCAGAGCCUGGGGCUCCUGCUGUAUGGGACACGGAAUGGGAAGAUGAAGUCAUCACCCCAGUGUGUCCCAGGUCUUUGUCAGAGGACGAAAUGCUGACAUUUCAGGUUCCCGCCUCGGGCGUGGAGAGAAAGCCUCUGGGAGGAACAUGGUCCUCACCAAAGCGUGGGAGACUAGAUCGCGCCAGGGAGUGCAGUGGACAUGAGCUCUGGGCCCCUCUCCUCUCUCCUGGAAUGGCUGCACAGGAAGGAAGGAUCGAAGACGUGAGAAACGCCACCCUGCCUGGGAAGGAGCUGCCGGCCCUCAGCAGUCCAGAGGCUGCCCAGAGAGCAAGAAGCAGCUCUCCAGGACUCCACCUCCCAGGUCCAGAUGAUGCCACCCAGGGUGCUCAGUGAGAAUUCACCUACAGCCACACACAUCCCGGGAGAGUGUCUAAAGAUGCCACCAAUCCAACAUUAUGGAAGGCAAGAACUCAGCAGAAACCGAGAUGGGGAAGCAGUCAUUUGGGAUACCUGCCCCCCACCCCAAUCCUGGGCCAACGCAGAUCUUCAGCAUCCUGAACCUGAAGUCCCCAUGGUGGGCCUGUGGCGGGCUGGGUGUGGCUUUAGAGAUGCAGUUGCAGGAACUGGCUGAGUGGUUCCCCCAGGCCCAGGGCUGACCCACAGCGACCUGGGAAAAUGGGCCCAGAAGGUCCCUCCUUGUUUAGUGUCAUCUUUCCAGGUCCAGCUUCACUGGGUCCACAGGGUCCCCAUCCUGAGGUCACUGUUUUUCAGCCCCCACCUGCCCACUCACUCCCAGCCCACUGCAGUCUGACUUUACUGCCCAUCACCAAAGAUGACCUUGACUUCUUGGAGGUAGAGGACAAUGGGGGUCUGUGUUGCCUCAACCACUCUCUCCUGUUGAACCUCUCAUCCUCCUGAGUGACACUCACCUGGUUGUCUUCUGGCUGCCUGCAACCUCCCAGCAUCCUCCACGGGCCCACCUUCACCCACCCACCCCGUGACCUCACACUCCCUGGGGUUCUCUUCUGGGUUUUUCUCACACGGAACCCCCUGAGCAACCUGCACCCCUCAGGGAUCACCGGUUAUUUAUGCCGAUGGCUCCAACUCUGCAUCCUGCAGCCUCAUCUUCCUCCGGACCAUCCACCCCACCCAUCCAACCACUACCAACACUUCCACGGGGUGCCCUGGACACACACGACUUAGCAGAAAACAAAAAAUAAAACACCCCAGCUCCCACAGCCACUCUCAGACCUGCCCCUGCUGCACUCCCCACCACCAGCAGCCUCAGUCUCUAUGGGUCACAGCCAUGCAGCUCCCCCCUCGCUUCUCUGUCCUCACCACUUCCACCAGGGGCCCUAAUAAAGAUGUCAGACCAGCCUGCCA